rnacentral:misc_RNA from 1 species
CUUAUUGAUAUUUCUUCAAGGAAUAAAUCAAUUAUACAGUGCAAAAAGUACAUGGUUUUUCUACCAUGUCUCAUUCAGCUUUCUCAUUAUAUGACAACAUCGAAGCAUAAGCAGUCAUAUUUUUCACUUUCCCAUCAUCUGAUAAUACCGAAUUAUUUUCCUUCCAAACAAGACUACUAAAACCAGACAGUUGAGCAAAACAAGAAAUCAACUGCUCAUGAAUUACUUCAUCAGAAGGAAGCACAGUACCUGUCUCCCUUCUCAAAGCUGUAACUUCUUUAUCCACAAUCCCACAAGGUACGAUAUGCUUAAAAUAGCUUAAAUCGGGAUCAAUGUUG